UACAGGGGGUGCAAACGUUGCUCGGAAUCAUUGGGCGUAAAGCGCGCGCAGGCGGUCUUCCAAGUCAGUGGUGAAAGCCCGGAGCUCAACUCCGGAAUUGCCAUUGAAACUGUUAGACUUGAGGAUGAGAGAGGUGAGUGGAAUUCCCAGUGUAGAGGUGAAAUUCGUAGAUAUUGGGAAGAACACCGGUGGCGAAGGCGGCUCACUGGCUCAUUACUGACGCUCAGGCGCGAUAGCGUGGGGAUCAAACAGG
rnacentral:rRNA from 1 species